AGCGAACGCUGGCGGCAGGCCUAACACAUGCAAGUCGAGCGCCCAGCAAUGGGAGCGGCAGACGGGAUAGUAACACGUGGGAACGUACCUUUCAGUUCGGAACAACCCAGGGAAACUUGGGCUAAUACCGAAUACGUCCGUAAGGAGAAAGAUUUAUCGCUGAAAGAUCGGCCCGCGCCUGAUUAGCUAGUUGGUGAGGUAAUGGCUCACCAAGGCGACGAUCAGUAGCUGGUCUGAGAGGAUGAUCAGCAUCACUGGGACUGAGACACGGCCCAGACUCCUACGGGAGGCAGCAGUGGGGAAUAUUGGACAAUGGGCGCAAGCCUGAUCCAGCCAUGCCGCGUGGAUGAUGAAGGCCUUAGGGUUGUAAAGUCUUUCGGCGGGGAAGAUAAUGACGGUACCCGCAGAAGAAGCCCCGGCUAACUUCGU
rnacentral:rRNA from 1 species